AGAGUUUGAUCCUGGCUCAGGAUGAACGCUGGCGGCGUGCUUAACACAUGCAAGUCGAGCGAAGCACUUAAGUUUGAUUCUUCGGAUGAAGACUUUUGUGACUGAGCGGCGGACGGGUGAGUAACGCGUGGGUAACCUGCCUCAUACAGGGGGAUAACAGUUGGAAACGGCUGCUAAUACCGCAUAAGCGCACAGUACCGCAUGGUACGGUGUGAAAAACUCCGGUGGUAUGAGAUGGACCCGCGUCUGAUUAGGUAGUUGGUGGGGUAACGGCCUACCAAGCCGACGAUCAGUAGCCGACCUGAGAGGGUGACCGGCCACAUUGGGACUGAGACACGGCCCAAACUCCUACGGGAGGCAGCAGUGGGGAAUAUUGCACAAUGGGGGAAACCCUGAUGCAGCGACGCCGCGUGAGCGAUGAAGUAUUUCGGUAUGUAAAGCUCUAUCAGCAGGGAAGAAAAUGACGGUACCUGACUAAGAAGCCCCGGCUAACUACGUGCCAGCAGCCGCGGUAAUACGUAGGGGGCAAGCGUUAUCCGGAUUUACUGGGUGUAAAGGGAGCGUAGACGGCAUGGCAAGCCAGAUGUGAAAGCCCGGGGCUCAACCCCGGGACUGCAUUUGGAACUGUCAGGCUAGAGUGUCGGAGAGGAAAGCGGAAUUCCUAGUGUAGCGGUGAAAUGCGUAGAUAUUAGGAGGAACACCAGUGGCGAAGGCGGCUUUCUGGACGAUGACUGACGUUGAGGCUCGAAAGCGUGGGGAGCAAACAGGAUUAGAUACCCUGGUAGUCCACGCCGUAAACGAU
rnacentral:rRNA from 1 species